GCAGUAUUCAGUGAGCCGAUCAAGUUUCUGAUGAGUCAACCCAAACUGAAUUUUAGUCGACUCAGUUGUAAAGUUAGUUGAUCCAGUCUUAGAAGAUAAAUAGAGAUAGAAAUAUAAAAUUUUGAAUCAAGUCUACUGAGCUGAUCAAGUGGUCACUGAGUCGACCCAAAGAUCAAUUGAGCCAAAUCAGACAGGGCCUG
rnacentral:lncRNA from 1 species